CAGGAGGGGAGGUUGCAGAGAAAGUUGCAGGGCAGAGAGGUCGGUUCAGAUGUAGCUACCGCUUCCUUUUCUUCUUUCCCUUGACUUGAAGGCUAUGAGAGCAGUUGGAGCAUAGCCAUGUGCGAGCUGCUAGCCUUCUUGAAACGAAAUUCUUCAAUGCACCGGUAGACCUCAUGUCUUCGGGUCGGUUCCUUUUCGACGCAAGGAGAUACUAACGGAAGGCGGUAUCACAGUGAUCCAGUUGAGUCCCUCCAAAGGCAAGUUUGAGUUAAAUCAUAGCCAAACCCACAUGCUAAAAGCCAGCCUCAACCAUCGAUUAAGAUUCAAAACCCAUAUACAAAAACCCAAUCAGAGGCAAAACAGAGCAUGGAAACUGGGAAGAUUAAAGGGAUCGUCGGAUCGACUUACCUGCGAUGCCGUCGCCGCGCCGCGCCGCUGAUCUAGUGCCCUUGUCUCUAGGCCAAGGAUUAAGAUCCCUUCUUUUGCUGUAAUGCCAUUAGCACGCAGUGGAGUGGAUUUAUAAGCGAUUGGGCCCAUGUGGGAUGAAGUUUCCACAAUAGAUACCCUCAAGAAUUGGACUCCUCUCUUGCAGCAGAAUAUUUAAUUAUUCAAAAGCAAAGGAUUGCUACAUGCCCAUCAUAUCACUUGAGGUUUAGAACAUUUUAUGAAAGUUUACCUUUUCUUUCUGAUGUUGAAUAAUGGAUUGUUUCUUAUUGAGAGACUUGUGAGGAGGUUGUUGAAGCUUCCAAAUAUACUAUGUCACUUAAAGCACUUACCAUAUGAGCUACAUUUAAACGUUGCUCCGAGAGUUGGUGUCUGUUGGAUAUGGUUUAUUCGGUUGCUUAAAUGCAUGAACAUAAUUUCUAUGGUAAAAUGCAAAUGCUUUCGAUGAUUAUUCUAAAAUAUUUCAAGUGCCAUCAGUAGAUUCUCAUCUAUGUUUUGAGAAAUGCAAGUUGUUCAGAUUUUAUAGCCAUAUAUCUGUAUGAUGAAUGUCAUGGAUUGAUGAAUGCUUUCAUGAACAACUAAAUCCAAACGUGUACAUUGACUGUAUGCCCACUUCAAAAUCUUAUUUUGCUCGUACAUUUGUGAUCCUGUGGUUUUGAUUUUUCCGCAGGAGGGUUUGAAACGGACUCUAGAGUCAUUUUCACACUUGAGGGCCAAAAGUCAACCUAACGGAGGACCAUCUAAUGCUCACAGAUUUCUUGGAGGUGGAAGGGGUACGAGCAUUCACUUUCUAUCUAUGUAGCACUCCCAAACCUAAUUACCCUGCAAGCAUUAUCACAGUUUUCUAUGCAAUAUCAAGAGAUAUGUCCAACUUAAAUUGAUGUAAACUUGCAUUGAUUGGCCAUAACAACCAUAUUUUUGGUACCAAUAUAUGGUUAACUAAUUGUGAAGCAUUGCAAGAUGAAAAAGAGUCCAAUUCAUAAAUCAGGAAACAAAACAAAGGUCGUUCCCUUUUCUCAAGGAGGUAAAGUAGGCAUAGCCAACUUUGAAUAUGUGAAGCUUUGUGAACUUAAUAAAUCUCGGUGCUCCAUAUAUUUGGUUUCAAUAGUGCUACGUCAUAAAAGGAAAAGAGUCAGAAAAAUUGAGGGGUUUAAGCUGGGGCCUACGUGCCUGAACAUGGUACAAUUAAGUACUUAAGGAAUUUGUUCCUUGCUUCAAGUUUGAAGAAUAGGAUGCUGUUGUCUCUGAAAUAGUAAGGAGACGUGCCAGUCCAAGAAGAUUCAAUUUAGGAAUUAUAAUGAAAUUUGUUAAUCAAAGGCCUAUUUACACCCAAAGUCAAACCUUUUCGCCAUUUUGCGAUUUAAUCCAACCAUUUUUAAUUUUUGUACAAUAAGUCAAAA
rnacentral:misc_RNA from 1 species